UACGGAGGAUCCGAGCGUUAUCCGGAUUUAUUGGGCUUAAAGGGUGCGUAGGCGGCCUGGUAAGUCAGGGGUGAAAGACGGUAGCUUAACUAUCGCAGUGCCCUUGAUACUGCUGGGCUUGAAUGUAGUUGAGGUAGGCGGAAUGUGACAAGUAGCGGUGAAAUGCAUAGAUAUGUCACAGAACACCAAUUGCGAAGGCAGCUUACUAAAGUAUGAUUGACGCUGAGGCACGAAAGCGUGGGGAGCAAACAGG
rnacentral:rRNA from 1 species